UAGGGAAUCUUCCGCAAUGGGCGGAAGCUUGACGGAGCAACGCCGCGUGAGUGAUGAAGGUCUUCGGAUCGUAAAACUCUGUUAUUAGGGAAGAACAAAUGUGUAAGUAACUAUGCACGUCUUGACGGUACCUAAUCAGAAAGCCACGGCUAACUACGUGCCAGCAGCCGCGGUAAUACGUAGGUGGCAAGCGUUAUCCGGAAUUAUUGGGCGUAAAGCGCGCGUAGGCGGUUUUUUAAGUCUGAUGUGAAAGCCCACGGCUCAACCGUGGAGGGUCAUUGGAAACUGGAAAACUUGAGUGCAGAAGAGGAAAGUGGAAUUCCAUGUGUAGCGGUGAAAUGCGCAGAGAUAUGGAGGAACACCAGUGGCGAAGGCGACUUUCUGGUCUGUAACUGACGCUGAUGUGCGAAAGCGUGGGGAUCAAACAGGA
rnacentral:rRNA from 1 species